GACGAACGCUGGCGGCGUGCUUAACACAUGCAAGUCGAACGGAAAGGCCCUGCUUUUGUGGGGUGCUCGAGUGGCGAACGGGUGAGUAACACGUGAGUAACCUGCCCCUGACUUUGGGAUAACUUCAGGAAACUGGGGCUAAUACCGGAUAGGAGCUCCUGCUGCAUGGUGGGGGUUGGAAAGUUUCGGCGGUUGGGGAUGGACUCGCGGCUUAUCAGCUUGUUGGUGGGGUAGUGGCUUACCAAGGCUAUGACGGGUAGCCGGCCUGAGAGGGGGACCGGCCACAUUGGGACUGAGAUACGGCCCAGACUCCUACGGGAGGCAGCAGGGGGGAAUAUUGCAGAAUGGGCGGAAGCCUGAUGCAGCGACGCCGCGUGCGGGAUGACGGCCUUCGGGUGGUAAACCGCUUUCUCCUGAGACGAAGCGAGAGUGACGGUAAUGGGUAAAGAAGCACCGGCUAACUACGUG
rnacentral:rRNA from 1 species